rfam:Triticum aestivum genome assembly, contig: Triticum_aestivum_CS42_TGACv1_scaffold_226567_3B
CAGGUACUCCCUCCGUCCAAAAAUAUUUGUCAUCAAAAUUGAUAAAAGGGGAUGAAUCUAGACGUAUUUUAGUUUUAGAUAUAUUUUUUUCUAUCUAUUUUAAUAACAAGUAUUUUUGGAUGGAGGGAGUAUGAU